UCAGUUUCAUGUAAACACAACAGCACCUAGCAGUGGUUCGGUUGUCACUUGAGUCAAAGGUUGAACAGCUAGAUUGGCUAGCUAAAGUGAUAGGGUAAAAACCGGCACAACGUUGUUCAGGCUGUAUUUCUUUACUCGUUGGUGUGUUGUAUCGCUGGAGACUUUGGCAUAUGAUGCAGUCAUCUGUUUGUCAAUUUUGGUCAGUGUUUGAGUCGGGAAAGCUAACGAGAUCUAAUAGUCUAGAUAGCUGCUAGCACUAGCUUGUUAGCUAGCUAGUUCUAGCUAACCAUCUACGCUAGCCAACGUUAGCUCAGUUUCUACUCAUACUGCUAGCUUGGAGUCUAGCUCACACAUCUUGAUAGAUAUCUUAGACAUCCCAGGUGUCCGUUUCUUGGUAGAUGUUGUAUCUAGCUACCGGUUACCAUACCUAUUGUCCCCGUUGGGCAUCCCAAAAACUAAGCUAGCUAACUUUAGCAAAGGUUGGCUAGCUCUAGUGCCAGCAGGACUGGACAACAAUAGCUAGCUAGUGGUUGGUUGACGGCUGAAUUUUUAAUCUAGCACUGGUUUAACAACGGUUGUUCCCAUGACAGUAAGCUUUCUUGAAUAAGGAAUCUCUCUGUCGGCCAGGACUCCGACCUCCAGUUUCCAGUUCACAGGAUUUCAUCUUGCACUGCAUUUAACAUUGUCAUAUGUUGACUGAAAACAGGAAGCGCCAGCGCAGCAGCGAAGAGGAGAAUGGCCAGCUGGUGCCUCAAGCCAAAAGGUCAAGCAGAGCUCACCCCCUCUCUCCUGAGCUGGGACGGGAUGCCUGGGACUCUGAGUCCUCCAACAGUGAAAGCAGUGGGAUAAGCAGUCCAGUGGAGAGCAGCAGCAGCAGCAGUCAGUGUGCCGUGGACUCCCAUGGAGGGGGGGCCCAGAGCCCCUGGACCCUGCAGUCCCCUCAGCUCAGCUCCCUCUGAGCUGGCCGGUCCUCUAAGCCUGGUCUCCUACCACCAGAUCAACCGGAUCCUCAGGGAGGCCCAUUUCCAGAGCCUGCAGAGCCGGGGCAAUUCCAGGGACACAUGAGCGCCCCCUCGUCCUCGCCGAGCGGGCCUCUCUGGGGGCAUAAGGACUUUGGCCCAGGCUUGCGAGAGCAUGACACGGUGGAUCACAUCGCUCAGCCCCACAACACCAUUCCCUGCUUCCGUGAUGUCCGACAGCCCCAGUUUUCUUUGCAUAUCUGUGGGAGAAGGCUGGUCCUUGGUGUAGAUAGGAAACCUAAACUUGGCUAAUCCGUAGAAAUGAGAGAGAAAGUAUCCAUCUUGUUAGCAAUAAUAACUAUUUGCUCCAAUUGAAUUGUUUUUUGUGUCUGACUUCUUUUUGGACCACCGUGGUUCACAUGCUUCUCGAAAAGCCUCCUCGGGGAGGUAUCGUUGCAGAGUCCCCUCUCAUCUGCGUCACACCGUGUGAUAGUAGGAGGGGCUGAAGAGUUGUUACCAAAUACUACUUGUAUGCUGGCCUAUUUGAACUGUUUAGUCUCUCUGUGGAGUUAAUGGUGGUAGACUAUCUACUGAAGUGCAUAAUGAAUCCAAUCUAAGAGGGAUUGGAUCACACUGGGAGGACCACACUUGGAUUUGUUUCCCAUUUUGAUUUGCUUCCAUGUUAUUACAGGGGCUCGACACGGCCAAUGGCUCCCCGUCUUUAUGCUCUCCCUGGAGAGGUGAUCCUAGUGGGUAAUGUACAGUGAUUUUCACCCUGGGUAUCUGCUUGUAGAGGGCUGUACUCAGUUCAGGGAGGUGGGCAUAUUCCUUUUGCCAUGUCAGGUUCGCAGCAUGGCUCCAGCCCAUUGUGAACAAACGACCACUACCUGCUGGCUUGGAAACGGAUAUAUUCUGUAUGACCCUGUCUGCACUGAUCAACCAGGUAAUAAGAGCACUGACCAUGAGGCUGUGCAUUUCUUCACCUUACCUCUACAGCCAGAUUCACAAUCUGGAUCCCCCUUUCCUGGUAGCAAAGCACUACUGCCCUCUCUCAAGACUGUAUUUGGUGUGCUAUGCUAUCGGAGAUCAAAAGCAUUUUGGGGGUGUUUUUUUCUUGAUGUUUUUUUUGUGUGUAUUUUGAAUUAUUGACGUUAUUACCUGCCAUUGAUAUUUGGGGUUUUAUUUUGUAAAUUCACCUACAUUUGAAAUGAAUAAAGAUAGAUGUUUUUCAAAUAUGUGAU